rfam:Triticum aestivum genome assembly, contig: Triticum_aestivum_CS42_TGACv1_scaffold_227316_3B
UAUGUACUCCCUCCGUCCCAUAAUUCUCGUCUUAGAUUUGUCUAGAUAUGGAUGUAUCUAACAUUAAAAUGUUACUAGAUACAUCCGUAUCUAAAGAAAUCUAAGACAAGAUUUUGGGACUGAGGGAGUAAACU